rnacentral:tRNA from 1 species
GGACCUGUAGCUCAGUUGGUUAGAGCAACCGGCUCAUAACCGGUUUGUCCGGGGUUCGAGUCCCUGCAGGUCCACUA